AGGCGAGCGGAGGACUGUGUGCCCGUGUCCGAGCUGGGGCUGCCUCUGGGCGAAAACUCUACCGACAGGCGGCACGCAUUCCGCGCCCGCUCUGCCUACUUGAGGAGGGGGUGUCACUCCUGCCCGCAAUGGAAUGUUCAGAACGCGGGACCUCCUUGGGUUAGGAUUUCUAGACCCCGGGAUCGUCGUGGAUGAGGGAGUGGUGGGUCCAGGUGGGGCUGCUGGCCGUGCCCCUGCUUGCUGCGUACCUGCACAUCCCACCCCCUCAGCUCUCCCCUGCCCUUCACUCAUGGAAGUCUUCAGGCAAGUUUUUCACUUACAAGGGACUGCGUAUCUUCUACCAAGGUAAGAAGUGGACUAUUGGAAGUCC
rnacentral:lncRNA from 1 species